AUUUAAAAUAUUUUUGAGUUCUUAAAAAAUACUUAAAAGGUGCUUAUUUUUUGUUAAAGAAAUCUCACUACGCACCUUGUAUAACUAACUUUUAUAUGCUUGUUUGAAUGUGUACUUGGACCAAUAAUGGAAUUUUAAGUCCUGAUGAUAAAUAAAAAGGUUUUUUUUCCUCCAAGUUAUUCCUUGUCACUCGCUAUUUAAACCACUUGCUUAUUUUCUUCUUUUUAUUAACUGAAAUAUAGUUUAGCAUUAUAGUAAACUUUUCUUUUCGUUACUCGUCUAGAUAUUUUGCCAAAUUUCUGGAAAGAUCCUCCACUCAAAUCCAGCCACAUUCUUGGAUAUUUCUUAUAGCUUCAGAACUUACGAUAUUCUCUAGUUUGCAAACAAAAUACCCCUGAUGACUCUACUAAAGAAGACUUCGAUAGUUCACUUAGUCUUGGGAUAAUGUGGAAAAUCCGAGUCUUGUAUAAAGAAUGUAGACAUCGUAGUCGAGUAAAGAAUGCUGACAUCGCCAUUAUGUUAUUAUAUCUCUCUUUUAUGGAGGUCCUACCUGAAAUUUGAAAUAUCCAAUAAGCAAAUUGCGAAAGCCAAAAGCAUUUACUACAGAGUUCUUCAAAAUUGCUGUUGGUAUAAGAAAAAUCUGUUUUUCGAACUUCUCAAAGUACUGUUGAUUCAAAAGUGACACUUGUAUAAAAGGAUUUAGUUCUGGAUGGAGUUCAAGGUGACUUGAAACAAGCACUGAAUAUCAUGGCUGAAAAACAAAUGAGAAUUCAUACACCUCUAGAGGAAGUGAUUUUGCUCAUAGAACACUGUGUUCAGUGAUGCAUAUUUUAUUUUGGUUUUUUGUAAUUUUGUAAGAUUUUUUGUUAAUUAAGUUCAUAACAUUAAUAAAAAACUAAUCACCAGCUAUUAUGCUUCUGUACAUUUUAAGUAUGCUAAUAAAUGCAGUCUAAUCAAUGCCUUUGAAGCUCUAAA
rnacentral:misc_RNA from 1 species